GACGAACGCUGGCGGCGUGCUUAACACAUGCAAGUCGAACGGAAAGGCCCUGCUUUUGUGCGGUGCUCGAGUGGCGAACGGGUGAGUAACACGUGAGUAACCUGCCCUUGACUUUGGGAUAACUUCAGGAAACUGGGGCUAAUACCGGAUAGGAGCUCCUGCUGCAUGGUGGGGGUUGGAAAGUUUCGGCGGUUGGGGAUGGACUCGCGGCUUAUCAGCUUGUUGGUGGGGUAGUGGCUUACCAAGGCUUUGACGGGUAGCCGGCCUGAGAGGGUGACCGGCGACAUUGGGACUGAGAUACGGCCCAGACGCGAACGGGAGGCAGCAGGGGGGAAUAUUGCACAAUGGGCGGAAGCCUGAUGCAGCAACGCCGGGUGCGGGAUGACGGCCUUCGGGUUGUAAACCGCUGUCGCCUGUGACGAAGCGUGAGUGACGGUAAUGGGUAAAGAAGCACCGGCUAACUACGUG
rnacentral:rRNA from 1 species